ACGCUGGCGGCAUGCCUUACACAUGCAAGUCGAACGGCAGCACGGAGCUCGCUCUGGUGGCGAGUGGCGAACGGGUGAGUAAUAUAUCGGAACGUACCCUAGAGUGGGGGAUAACGUAGCGAAAGUUACGCUAAUACCGCAUACGAUCUAAGGAUGUAAGUGGGGGAUCGCAAGACCUCAUGCUCGUGGAGCGGCCGAUAUCUGAUUAGCUAGUUGGUAGGGUAAAAGCCUACCAAGGCAUCGAUCAGUAGCUGGUCUGAGAGGACGACCAGCCACACUGGAACUGAGACACGGUCCAGACUCCUACGGGAGGCAGCAGUGGGGAAUUUUGGACAAUGGGCGAAAGCCUGAUCCAGCAAUGCCGCGUGAGUGAAGAAGGCCUUCGGGUUGUAAAGCUCUUUUGUCAGGGAAGAAACGGUGAGAGCUAAUAUCUUUUGCUAAUGACGGUACCUGAAGAAUAAGCACCGGCUAACUACGUGCCAGCAGCCGCGGUAAUACGUAGGGUGCAAGCGUUAAUCGGAAUUACUGGGCGUAAAGCGUGCGCAGGCGGUUUUGUAAGUCUGAUGUGAAAUCCCCGGGCUCAACCUGGGAAUUGCAUCGGAGACUGCAAGGCUAGAAUCUGGCAGAGGGGGGUAGAAUUCCACGUGUAGCAGUGAAAUGCGUAGAUAUGUGGAGGAACACCGAUGGCGAAGGCAGCCCCCUGGGUCAAGAUUGACGCUCAUGCACGAAAGCGUGGGAGCAAAC
rnacentral:rRNA from 1 species